UCUCUAUCUCUACACCUAUAAAUCUCUACGCCUAUAAAUCCACCAAAAUUUUCUUUUCUACGUCCACCCCAUGAAAUGCCCCCCACUGAUAUUCCAUUCGAUCUAUCCACACCAACCAAUACACACACCUUCAAAUUGUACCGUCCAGAUCCCCUUUCAUAUUUCUCACUCAAAUCCAACCGUCAAUAUUAUUUGGAUCAUCCACGUACCCCUUCACCCCCACCCACCCGCCCGCGCCCCUCACGGACUCGUGCACGCCCGCGCCCCGACGCGCUCCUCGGUCCCUCACGCCCGCGACUCCUCGGCUCCUCUCCUGCAGGCGACGCGUCCUCUCCUCUCCUCGCGCCGCCACAUCUGCACUCCGCCGCAUCGAAAUCGCGCCGCGCCACCGUGGCCGUGUUGGGCAGCGGCCGACGACGCCAUCGGCCAGAUGUCGGCAUGAUGCCCCCUACCUGCGCGUGCGCGAGCUGUUGGUGGACGGCGCCGCGGCCGACAAGUCAGUCAAGCAUCAAGGUGGCCACUGGCCACAGGCCUCGAGGAGCUUAGGUUGUGAGGUCUCAUGAUGACGCGCAAGAUCAAGAUCCAGGUGAGGCCAAGCUGUACUCUAGCGCAAGUAAGUCCAAGCUCAUCCAUAUCCUUGCUCCUGGUCGCCCCCUCUUAAUGGCCGAUCGAUUGGUGCCAUGAGUAAGAAACAGCCAAGCGAUUUCCCCCAAUCCCCACCCCCUCCUUGAUUUGGUAGACGCUGGAUGCAAAUCUCAUGAGAUUUGUUGGUAGAUAUUAUUUCCAAUACCUUUGAUGCCUGUGAGCUUGAAGUUCAAAACAGUUUUAUUUCAUUUGUUCGGACAACUAGAUGUCAUUGUCUGGAAAGUUCAUCAUUUUAUUCAGUUUCAUGAGAGCAAUUUGGCAUGUAGUGGUAACUUUUAGAUGGGUCAUGCAAACAAACGAUUUGAUCAUAAGUGAUUAUAUUUCCCCCUUACACAAUAACACACUGUCAAUUUAUUUACUAAUCUGACCUGAAUUGUCACUAACUUCAGUUUUGUGUACUUCACUUCUUUGUCAUAAUAAAAGUGUUUAGAUCUUAGGACCAGCCUUUGGCAUUGGAAAACUCGAAAACUCUGAUGCUUGUUAGCUUUUGCCUUUUUGAUGUUUCACUUCUGAUAGUAGAUAACAUGUGAACAAUGUUUAUUACUAUGCAUGAAUUUCAGUGUGUGCAUGAUGCAAAUGUAGGAGGAAGGCAUCCCAGAUGGUCUCUACAAUUAGCCUCAUGUUCUACUUGUCAGAACAAAUUAUCUUCUUGUAGUAGCGCUCAUCUGCAUGUUUUACUUGUCAGUCCUCUAUGCUGAUUCCAGGUUUGCUCCCGUCAUGCUUCACGUGUUGGAAUCAGUUCUUUUUGUUUCCUCUCAGCAUAUGGUUUCAUGAAAAUUGAAUCUCCCUGUUUGAUGGAAUGCGGUAGAGAACCCUGCUGUCCCUUCAGCCUGCCUUCCUGCUCCUGCUCUUCAGAUGCUUACCUGGAAUAUAAGGACUUCUGAAGUUUAAAAUAUAUGCUAACUCAAAUGUUAUGCUUUUUCUCUCCCACCUGUCGGAUGACAUUACUAAGUUGGAAAACAAAUGCACAGUGGCUAUUUUGUCAAUGAGUAAUCAAGUAAUAGAGGGUUGGGAUCAAUGCAUCAAGACCAUGAGUGUAGUGGAAUUUUUGUCAAGAACAAUCUAUGUUUUUCCUAACAAUUUACUGAUUACAAUGUUUGCUUUUUUUUCAGGUAAACUAGACCAUGGCGACACAUGGCUCAUAUUAAGCAAACUGCUUGAAAGUUCGUUGGAGGAAAGGCUCCUAGUAGGUUGCAUGCGGAAGCAUACCUGCUUGCUCUGUUGGAGGACACAAACUUGUGUGCCAUCCAUGCCAACCACCGAUGGACAUUUAGCUAGCUUGAAGGAUCUUCAGAGAGAGGGUUUAGGUUCUCUGCUACAGCUAGGAUGUUAAAGAUACUUGUUAUUAAUAGAAAACCGGCAAUCUCUGCCGGGUUUUUACGUUUCAAAAAAAGAUACUUAUUACUUGAAAAUUAAACUAUGCAAGUGAUGUAUUCUCUUGUUUCAAUUGAGGUGUGUCUCGUAUACCCAUAUAAAAUGUACCAUUUCAAAGAUAAGAUUGAAGUAUUUGUUA